rnacentral:rRNA from 1 species
AGUGAACGCUGGCGGUAGGCCUAACACAUGCAAGUCGAACGGCAGCACAGUAAGAGCUUGCUCUUACGGGUGUCGAGUGGCGGACGGGUGAGGAAUACAUCGGAAUCUACUUUUUCGUGGGGGAUAACGUAGGGAAACUUACGCUAAUACCGCAUACGACCUACGGGUGAAAGCAGGGGAUCUUCGGACCUUGCGCGAUUGAAUGAGCCGAUGUCGGAUUAGCUAGUUGGCGGGGUAAAGGCCCACCAAGGCGACGAUCCGUAGCUGGUCUGAGAGGAUGAUCAGACACACUGGAACUGAGAAACGGUCCAGACUCCUACGGGAGGCAGCAGUGGGGAAUAUUGGACAAGGGGGGAAAGCCUGAUCCAGCCAUACCGCGUGGGUGAAGAAGGCCUUCGGGUUGUAAAGCCCUGUUGUUGGGAAAGAAAAGAAGCAGGUUAAUACCCCGCUGUUAUGACGGUACCCAAAGAAUAAGCACCGGCUAACUUCGUG